rnacentral:rRNA from 1 species
GACGAACGCGGGCGGCGUGCUUAACACAUGCAAGUCGAACGGAAAGGCCCUGCUUUUGUGGGGUGCUCGAGUGGCGAACGGGUGAGUAACACGUGAGUAACCUGCCCUUGACUUUGGGAUAACUUCAGGAAACUGGGGCUAAUACCGGAUAGGAGCUCCUGCUGCAUGGUGGGGGUUGGAAAGUUUCGGCGGUUGGGGAUGGACUCGCGGCUUAUCAGCUUGUUGGUGGGGUAGUGGCUUACCAAGGCUUUGACGGGUAGCCGGCCUGAGAGGGUGACCGGCCUCAUUGGGGCUGAGAUGCGGCCCAGACUCCUACGGGAGGCAGCAGUGGCGAAUAUUGCACGCUGGGCGGAAGCCUGAUGCAGCAACGCCGCGUGCGGGAUGACGGCCUUCGGGUUGUAAACCGCUUUCGCCUGUGACGAAGCGUGAGUGACGGUAAUGGGUAAAGAAGCACCGGCUAACUACGUG